GACGAACGCUGGCGGCGUGCUUAACACAUGCAAGUCGAACGGAAAGGCCCGGCUUUUGCUGGUCGCUCGAGUGGCGAGCGGGUGAGAAACACGUGAGUAACCCGUCCCUGACUUUGGGAUAACUUCAGGAAACUGCGGCUAAUACCGGAUAGGAUCUCCUGCUGCAUGGGGUGGGUUGGAAAGUGUCGGCGGUUGGGGAUGGACUGGCGGGUUACCAGCUUGUUGGUGGGGUAGUUGCUUACCAAGGUUUUGACGGAUAGCCGGCAUGAGAGGGUGACCGGCGUCAUUGGGACUAAGGUAGGGACCAGACUCCAACGGGAGGCAACGGUGGGGAAUAUUGCAGAGUGGGGGGAAGCCUGUUGCGAAAGCGCCGCGUGCGGAAUGACGGCUUUCGGGUUGUAAACCGCUUUCGCCUGUGACGAAGCGUGAGUGACGGUACUGGAUCAAGAAGCACCGGCUAACUACGUG
rnacentral:rRNA from 1 species